GCCUCAGUAGCUCAGUGGUAGAGCUGUCGACUCUUAAUCGAUUGGUCGUAGGUUCGAGACCUACCUGGGGCA
rnacentral:tRNA from 1 species